rnacentral:rRNA from 1 species
CCUACGGGAGGCAGCAGUGAGGAAUAUUGGUCAAUGGACGAGAGUCUGAACCAGCCAAGUAGCGUGAAGGAUGACUGCCCUAUGGGUUGUAAACUUCUUUUAUAUGGGAAUAAAAUGUUCCACGUGUGGGAUUUUGUAUGUACCAUAUGAAUAAGGAUCGGUUAACUCCGUGCCAGCAGCCGCGGUAAUACGGAGGAUCCGAGCGUUAUCCGGAUUUAUUGGGUUUAAAGGGAGCGUAGGUGGAUUGUUAAGUCAGUUGUGAAAGUUUGCGGCUCAACCGUAAAAUUGCAGUUGAAACUGGCAGUCUUGAGUACAGUAGAGGUGGGCGGAAUUCAUGGUGUAGCGGUGAAAUGCUUAGAUAUCACGAAGAACUCCGAUUGCGAAGGCAGUUCACUGGACUGCAACUGACACUGAGGCUCGAAAGUGUGGGUAUCAAACAGGAUUAGAUACCCUUGUAGUC